rnacentral:rRNA from 1 species
UACGUAGGGGGCGAGCGUUGUCCGGAAUUAUUGGGCGUAAAGAGCGUGUAGGCGGUUCGGUAAGUCUGCCGUGAAAACCUGGGGCUCAACCCCGGGCGUGCGGUGGAUACUGCCGGGCUAGAGGGUGGUAGAGGCGAGUGGAAUUCCCGGUGUAGCGGUGAAAUGCGCAGAUAUCAGGAGGAACACCGAUUGCGAAGGCAGCUCGCUGGAACGUUACUGACGCUGAGACGCGAAAGCGUGGGAGCAAACAGG